rnacentral:rRNA from 1 species
GAGCCUGAGAGCAAGUCGCGUGAGGGAUGACUGUCUUAUGGAUUGUAAACUUCUUUUAUACGGGAAUAACAAGAGUCAAGUGUGACUCCCUGCAUGUACCGUAUGAAUAAGCAUCGGCUAACUCCGUGCCAGCAGCCGCGGUAAU